rnacentral:rRNA from 1 species
GAUGAACGCUGACAGAAUGCUUAACACAUGCAAGUCUUUGGCGAAUCUGUGCUUGCACAGGCUAGCCAAGGCGGACGGGUGAGUAACGCGUAAAGAACUUGCCCUGCAGACAGGGAUAACAGACGGAAACGACUGACAACACCUGAUACAGUUGCCGGCACGCAUGUGCCUGGCAAUGAAAAGAGAUGCUGCGGGAGAGCUUUGCGUCCUAUUAGCUUGUUGGCGGGGUAACGGCCCACCAAGGCGAUGAUAGGUAGCCGGCCUGAGAAGGUGAACGGCCACAAGGGGACUGAGAUACGGCCCUUACUCCUACGGGAGGCAGCAGUGGGGAAUAUUGGACAAUGGGGGCAACCCUGAUCCAGCAAUUCUGUGUGCACGAGGAAGGUUUUCGGAUUGUAAAGUGCUUUCAGCAGGGAAGAUGGAAGGACGGUAC